AGAAUCAACGCUGGCGGCGUGCCUCAGACAUGCAAGUCGAACGAUUAAAGCUCUCUUCGGAGAGUGUAUAGAGUGGCGCACGGGUGAGUAACACGUAAGUAAUCUACCUCUGAGUGGGGAAUAACGUCCGGAAACGGACGCUAAUACCGCAUAAUGCAGCGGCACCGCAAGGUGACAGUUGUUAAAGAUUUAUCGCUUAGAGAGGAGCUUGCGGCAGAUUAGCUAGUUGGUAAGGUAAUGGCUUACCAAGGCUACGAUCUGUAACCGGUCUUAGAGGACGGUCGGUCACACUGACACUGAAUAACGGGUCAGACUCCUACGGAGGCAGCAGUCGGGAAUUUUGGGCAAUGGCGAAAGCCUGACCCAGCAACGCCGCGUGAAGGAUGAAGUAUUUCGGUAAUGUAAACUUCGAAAGAAUGGAAGAAUAAAUGAACGGUACCAAUUUAUAAGGUCCGGACUAACUACGUGCCAGCAGCCGC
rnacentral:rRNA from 1 species